rnacentral:rRNA from 2 species
GAGCGGCGAACGGGUGAGUAACACGUGGGUGACCUGCCCUCCACUCCGGGAUAAGCCUGGGAAACCGGGUCUAAUACCGGAUAGGACCUCUGGGUGCAUGCCUGGUGGUGGAAAGUUUUUUCGGUGGGGGAUGGGCCCGCGGUCUAUCAGCUUGUUGGUGGGGUGAUGGCCUACCAAGGCGACGACGGAUAGCCGGCCUGAGAGGGUGAUCGGCCACACUGGGACUGAGACACGGCCCAGACUCCUACGGGAGGCAGCAGUGGGGAAUCUUGCGCAAUGGGCGGAAGCCUGACGCAGCAACGCCGCGUGAGGGAUGACGGCCUUCGGGUUGUAAACCUCUUUCGCGAUCGACGAAGGUCCGGUUUUUGCCGGGCUGACGGUAGGUCGAGAAGAAGCACCGGCCAACUACGUGCCAGCAGCCGCGGUAAUACGUAGGGUGCGAGCGUUGUCCGGAAUUAUUGGGCGUAAAGAGCUCGUAGGCGGUGUGUCGCGUCGGCCGUGAAAACCUGGGGCUCAACUCUGGGCGUGCGGUCGAUACGGGCAUCACUUGAGUUCGGCAGGGGAGACUGGAAUUCCUGGUGUAGCGGUGAAAUGCGCAGAUAUCAGGAGGAACACCGGUGGCGAAGGCGGGUCUCUGGGC